AUUUUCUUUCUCUUCAGCUUUAGCAACUCCUGGACCUACCACAAGCCUGAUGGAGGUCUGCAGGACUUCAACUCUUAGCCUUCAAGAUGAAGAUAUGGAGAAAAUGAAUGCGCUGUCUAUCACUGUGCUGGGCUUGAGGGUGUUGCUAAUGAAAAACAUUGCCUUGAAUAUGCUCAUGGUCACUAGAUACCUUUAUUUCUGAGGUUGGACAAAGUGAGCCAGAAAUGGUUUGAAGAAGAUAGCAAAUAAUGUGUUAACUUUUAUUCUUUAUUAGAGCUGGUCAAAACAUGAAAAUAAAAUCAAACUUUCAAAGUUGAAAUUUUUGAAGGGUUCAAAAUGGAGCCAAUUUUUGUGCUUUCCAAAAAUCUUCACUGAAA